rfam:Camelus ferus unplaced genomic scaffold scaffold1613, whole genome shotgun sequence.
GUGGGUAUAGUUCAAGUGGUAGAGUGCAUGCUUAGCAUGCACGAGGUCCUGGGUUCAAUCCCCAGUACCUCCA